CUGGAGGUGAUGCAGAUAAUGAGAUUGAAGUUGUCUGAUGAUGUUUCCGUAUUCAUACUGUCUGAUCCAG